AUCCUGGCUCAGAUUGAACGCUGGCGGCAGGCCUAACACAUGCAAGUCGAGCGGUAACAGGAAUUAGCUUGCUAAUUCGCUGACGAGCGGCGGACGGGUGAGUAAUGCCUGGGAAUAUGCCUUAGUGUGGGGGAUAACUAUUGGAAACGAUAGCUAAUACCGCAUAAUGUCUUCGGACCAAAGAGGGGGAUCUUCGGACCUCUCGCGCUAAGAUUAGCCCAGGUGAGAUUAGCUAGUUGGUGAGGUAAGAGCUCACCAAGGCGACGAUCUCUAGCUGGUCUGAGAGGAUGAUCAGCCACACUGGAACUGAGACACGGUCCAGACUCCUACGGGAGGCAGCAGUGGGGAAUAUUGCACAAUGGGCGAAAGCCUGAUGCAGCCAUGCCGCGUGUAUGAAGAAGGCCUUCGGGUUGUAAAGUACUUUCAGUCGUGAGGAAGGGUGUGUAGUUAAUAGCUGCAUAUCUUGACGUUAGCGACAGAAGAAGCACCGGCUAACUCCGUGCCAGCAGCCGCGGUAAUACGGAGGGUGCGAGCGUUAAUCGGAAUUACUGGGCGUAAAGCGCAUGCAGGUGGUUCAUUAAGUCAGAUGUGAAAGCCCGGGGCUCAACCUCGGAACCGCAUUUGAAACUGGUGAACUAGAGUGCUGUAGAGGGGGGUAGAAUUUCACGUGUAGCGGUGAAAUGCGUAGAGAUCUGAAGGAAUACCAGUGGCGAAUGCGGCCCCCUGGACAGACACUGACACUCAGAUGCGAAAGCGUGGGGAGCAAACAGGAUUAGAUACCCUGGUAGUCCACGCCGUAAACGAUGUCUACUUGGAGUUGUGGCCUUGAGCCGUGGCUUUCGGAGCUAACGCGUUAAGUAGACCGCCUGGGGGAGUACGGUCGCAAGAUUAAAACUCAAAUGAAUUGACGGGGCCCGCACAGCGGUGGAGCAUGUGGUUUAAUCGAUGCAACGCGAAGAACCUUACCUACUCUGACAUCUACAGAAUUCGCUAGAGAAUAGCUUAUGCUUCGGAACUGUAAACGGUG
rnacentral:rRNA from 1 species